rnacentral:misc_RNA from 1 species
CGUAGGUGAACCUGCGGAAGGAUCAUUAACAAAUCCUAGCCGUUGUCGCCUCGGUGUGGCGCAGCGGUGAAACACCGUGCACUGGCAACUGAAGAUGAGAGCCCGUCGGAGGUGUGCUGCCGGCAUUGACUUGGAUGCCGCACUUGAAUCGGUGGGAAUCAGCAUUGCACCGCCCGCCGGGCCUCAAAGGCGCAGUCUCUCAUCUCCGGUUUUUGUUGUGACCUUUUUAUACUUAGUGUUAUUUUGGUGUGAUGCGUUGGUUGGAAAAUUUUGACAACUUCUGACGGUGGAUCUCUUGGCUCGUGCAUCGAUGAAGAACGCAGCAAGCUGCGAUACCUAGUGUGAAUUGCAGAAUUCAGUGAAUCAUCGAGUCUUUGAACGCAAAUGGCGCUCCCGAGGUCUCCUCGGGAGCAGGUCUGUCCGAGCGUCUGCCAACCAAAUUUGUUGUCGUCCACAUGACGGACGACAAGAGUGAGGAGCUGCAUCGCCGACCCUCCGGGGCCAUGUUGCACUCCUUGAAGAACAUACCGUAGGAGCAUUGCGGACGGUGGACCGAGCCGCGGUGAGGCGAUCGUCGCAACGGCAUAAACGGUUGCGUCGUCGCAUCUCGACGGCCGGUGCACACGCUCGCGUGCCGUCUCAGGAAUG